AUACAUGCAAGUCGAGCGGACCGACGGGAGCUUGCUCCCUUAGGUCAGCGGCGGACGGGUGAGUAACACGUGGGUAACCUGCCUGUAAGACUGGGAUAACUCCGGGAAACCGGGGCUAAUACCGGAUGCUUGAUUGAACCGCAUGGUUCAAUCAUAAAAGGUGGCUUUUAGCUACCACUUNCAGAUGGACCCGCGGCGCAUUAGCUAGUUGGUGAGGUAACGGCUCACCAAGGCGACGAUGCGUAGCCGACCUGAGAGGGUGAUCGGCCACACUGGGACUGAGACACGGCCCAGACUCCUACGGGAGGCAGCAGUAGGGAAUCUUCCGCAAUGGACGAAAGUCUGACGGAGCAACGCCGCGUGAGUGAUGAAGGUUUUCGGAUCGUAAAACUCUGUUGUUAGGGAAGAACAAGUACCGUUCGAAUAGGGCGGNACCUUGACGGUACCUAACCAGAAAGCCACGGCUAACUACGUGCCAGCAGCCGCGGUAAUACGUAGGUGGCAAGCGUUGUCCGGAAUUAUUGGGCGUAAAGCGCGCGCAGGCGGUUUCUUAAGUCUGAUGUGAAAGCCCCCGGCUCAACCGGGGAGGGUCAUUGGAAACUGGGGAACUUGAGUGCAGAAGAGGAGAGUGGAAUUCCACGUGUAGCGGUGAAAUGCGUAGAGAUGUGGAGGAACACCAGUGGCGAAGGCGACUCUCUGGUCUGUAACUGACGCUGA
rnacentral:rRNA from 2 species